GUGAAUCAUCGAAUCUUUGAACGCAAAUUGCACUCCCUGGUAUUCCGGAGAGUAUGCCUGUUUGAGGGUCAGUUUAAAUAAAAAUCGCUGUGGUUGCCGCCUUUCGUGGUGAGGCACCGGAUUUGGGUCGCCUUGCCUUCGGUUCUGGAACCUAAAACUUUGCAUGAUUUUUUUCGAACGUAUUUCAAUGCUUUUACGUACUUUUGAGUUACCGAG
rnacentral:misc_RNA from 1 species